UCCGAUGUGGUGUAGUGGUUAACAUUAUCGCCUCUCACGCGAUAGCCCGGGGUUCGAUUCCCCGUGUCGGAA
rnacentral:tRNA from 1 species